rnacentral:snoRNA from 1 species
AAGACCUUACUUCAUAGGAUCAUUUCUAUAGUAAGUUCUUCACGAGACGCUCUCGGGUCAGCAAAAACUACGACUCAUUAAAAAUUGGACUAAAUGUUGU